rnacentral:snRNA from 1 species
GGAUGUGAGGGCGAUCUGGCUGCAACAUAUGUCAACCCACUGAUCACCAGGGUUGAUUCGGCUGAUCUGAACUGCCUAGGCGGUGUCCCCUUCCUCCCUCAACACUCCACACGUAUCUCUCCAGAAGCUGUGUGCUGGGUCGAAGAUGACCCCACCACCACCACCACCACAGAGGAGGGUACAGGAGUAGCUGCACUCCCCUCAUAGGACCUCCAAACAAGCUCUCAAAAAAGACAUCAUUUCAGAAAAACUAGAUUUAGGAUAUGAGUCAUGAAGACUUAAAUUCUU